rnacentral:rRNA from 1 species
UGGGGAAUUUUGGACAAUGGACGCAAGUCUGAUCCAGCCAUGCCGCGUGCGGGAAGAAGGCCUUCGGGUUGUAAACCGCUUUUGUCAGGGAAGAAACGAGUUUCUCUAAUACAGAGACUUAAUGACGGUACCUGAAGAAUAAGCACCGGCUAACUACGUGCCAGCAGCCGCGGUAAUACGUAGGGUGCAAGCGUUAAUCGGAAUUACUGGGCGUAAAGCGUGCGCAGGCGGUUAUAUAAGACAGAUGUGAAAUCCCCGGGCUCAACCUGGGAACUGCAUUUGUGACUGUAUAGCUAGAGUAGGGCAGAGGGGGAUGGAAUUCCGCGUGUAGCAGUGAAAUGCGUAGAUAUGCGGAGGAACACCGAUGGCGAAGGAAAUCCCCUGGGCCUGCACUGACGCUCAUGCACGAAAGCGUGGGGAGCAAACA